rnacentral:rRNA from 1 species
AUUGAACGCUGGCGGCAGGCCUAACACAUGCAAGUCGAGCGGGGUUUUCGGACCUAGCGGCGGACGGGUGAGAAAUGCGUAGGAAGCUACCCGAUAGAGGGGGAUACCAGUUGGAAACGACCGUUAAUACCGCAUAAUGUCUACGGACCAAAGUGUGGGACCUUCGGGCCACAUGCUAUCGGAUGUGCCUACGUGGGAUUAGCUAGUUGGUGAGGUAAUGGCUAACCAAGGCGACGAUCCCUAGCUGGUUUGAGAGGAUGAUCAGCCACACUGGAACUGAGAAACGGCCCAGACUCCGACGGGAGGCAGCAGUGGGGAAUAUUGGACAAUGGGCGCAAGCCUGAUACAGCCAUGCCGCGUGUGUGAAGAAGGCCUUCGGGUUGUAAAGCGCUUUCAGUAAGGAGGAAGCGUUGAGUGUUAAUAGUACUCAGCGUUGACGUUACUUACAGAAGAAGCACCGGCUAACUCUGUGCCAGCCGCCGCGGUAACAC